rnacentral:rRNA from 1 species
AUUGAACGCUGGCGGCAGGCUUAACACAUGCAAGUCGAGCGGGGUGAUGGUGCUUGCACUAUCACUUAGCGGCGGACGGGUGAGUAAUGCUUAGGAAUCUGCCUAUUAGUGGGGGACAACAUCUCGAAAGGGAUGCUAAUACCGCAUACGUCCUACGGGAGAAAGCAGGGGAUCACUUGUGACCUUGCGCUAAUAGAUGAGCCUAAGUCGGGUUAGCUAGUUGGUGGGGUAAAGGCCUACCAAGGCGACGAUCUGUAGCGGGUCUGAGAGGAUGAUCCGCCACGCUGGGACUGAGACACGGCCCAGAGUCCUACGGGAGGCAGCAGUGGGGAAUAUUGGACAAUGGGGGGAACCCUGAUCCAGCCAUGCCGCGUGUGUGAAGAAGGCCUUAUGGUUGUAAAGCACUUUAAGCGAGGAGGAGGCUCUUUUGGUUAAUAACCUUGAGCAGUGACGUUACUCGCAGAAUAAGCACCGGCUAACUCUGUGCCAGCCGCCGCAGUAA